rnacentral:rRNA from 1 species
GACGAACGCUGGCGGCGUGCUUAACACAUGCAAGUCGAACGGUAAGGCCUUCGGGUACACGAGUGGCGAACGGGUGAGUAACACGUGGGUGAUCUGCCCUGCACUUCGGGAUAAGCCUGGGAAACUGGGGCUAAUACCGGAUAUGACUUCUGGCUUCAUGGGUGGGAGUGGAAAGCUUUUGCGGUGUGGGAUGGGCCCGCGGCCUAUCAGCUUGUUGGUGGGGUAAAGGCCUACCAAGGCGACGACGGGUAGCCGGCCUGAGAGGGUGUCCGGCCACACUGGGACUGAGAUACGGCCCAGACUCCUACGGGAGGCAGCAGUGGGGAAUAUUGCACAAUGGGCGCAAGCCUGAUGCAGCGACGCCGCGUGGGGGAUGACGGCCUUCGGGUUGUAAACCUCUUUCAGUAGGGACGAAGCGCAAGUGACGGUACCUACAGAAGAAGCACCGGCCAACUACGUGCCAGCAGCCGCAGUAA